rnacentral:rRNA from 1 species
UGAGGAAUAUUGGGCAAUGCCCGCAAGGGUGACCCAGCAACGCCGCGUGGAGGAUGAAUGUCGUAAGAUUGUAAACUCCUGUUAGAGGGGAAGAAUAGUACCGGUUGGACCGGUAUACGACUGUACCCUCAGAGAAAGCCCCGGCUAACUACGUGCCAGCAGCCGCGGUAAUACGGAGGGUGCAAGCGUUAUCCGGAUUUACUGGGUUUAAAGGGUGCGUAGGCGGGCAUGUAAGUCAGUGGUGAAAUACCGGAGCUUAACUUCGGAACUGCCAUUGAUACUAUAUGUCUUGAAUAUUGUGGAGGUAAGCGGAAUAUGUCAUGUAGCGGUGAAAUGCAUAGAUAUGACAUAGAACACCGAUUGCGGAGGCAGCUUGCUACGCAAAUAUUGACGCUGAGGCACGAAAGCGUGGGGAUCAAACA